rnacentral:lncRNA from 1 species
AUUCGCUCCCUCCCCCAAAUUGCCCCAAAUCCUAAUAAUUAGCCCCAAAUCUCCCCCGGAACCCCCAAACCCCGCAGUUUAGCCCCAAAUCACCCUGCCCCUCCCCAAUUGCCCCAAAUCCCUUAAAUUAGCCCCAAAAUUCCUCCCCAGAGCCCCCAGCCCCUCCGCAAUUUUCCCCUUUCCUCAAAUUGCCCAAAAUCCCUUAAAUUAACCCCAAAUCUCCCCACGUGGUUGCACCCAGGCCUUUAUUGCAAGGUUAUGGGGCAGGAUAUGGGGCAGGGUGGUGGUGGGGGGGGGGGCGGGUGGGGGGGGGGCUGGGGGGGGGGGGGGGAGAUGUGGGGCAGGCCUGGCCGUGGGGCAGCCAUGGGGCUGGCUAUGGGGCAGAUGUGGGGCUGGGGUAUCUAUGGGGCAGCCGUGGGGCUGGCUAUGGGGCAGAUGUGGGGCUGGGGUAUCUAUGGGGCAGCCAUGGGGCUGGCUAUGGGGCAGCUGUGGGGCUGGGGUAUCUAUGGGGCAGCCAUGGGGCUGGCUAUGGGGCAGCUGUGGGGCUGGGGUAUCUAUGGGGCAGCCAUGGGGCUGGCUAUGGGGCAGAUGUGGGGCUGGGGUGUCUAUGGGGCAGGGUGGUGGUGGUGGGGAGCAGAUGUGGGGCUGGCUGUGGGUCCGGCCGUGGGUCAGAUCUGUCCGUGGGGCAGCUGUGGGGCAGCCAUGGGGCAGAUGUGGGGCUGGGGCAUCUAUGGGGCAGGAUAUGGGGCAGGGUGGUGGUGGUGGGGAGCAGAUGUGGGGCUGGCUGUGGGUCUGUCCGUGGGUCAGAUCUGUCCGUGGGGCAGCUGUGGGGCAGUCAUGGGGCAGAUGUGGGGCUGGGGUAUCUAUGGGGCAGGUGUGGGUCCGGCCAUGGGUCCAGCCGUGGGUCCGAUCUGUCCGUGGGGCAGC